UACGUAGGUGGCAAGCGUUGUCCGGAAUCAUUGGGCGUAAAGCGCACGUAGGCGGUCUGUUAUGUCGGAUGUGAAAGCCCUUGGCUUAACUGAGGAAGUGCAUCCGAAACUGGCAGGCUAGAGUACUAAAGAGGGUCGCGGAAUUCCCGGUGUAGAGGUGAAAUUCGUAGAUAUCGGGAGGAACACCGGUGGCGAAGGCGGCGACCUGGGUAGAUACUGACGCUGAGGUGCGAAAGCGUGGGGAGCAAACAGG
rnacentral:rRNA from 1 species